rnacentral:rRNA from 1 species
CACGUAGGGCGCAAGCGUUGUCCGGAAUUAUUGGGCGUAAAGAGCUCGUAGGCGGUCUGUUGCGUCCGCUGUGAAAACCCGGGGCUUAACCCUGGGCUUGCGUUUGAUACGUGCGGACUUGAGUGCGGAAGAGGGUCGUGGAAUUCCCAGUGUAGAGGUGAAAUUCGUAGAUAUUGGGAAGAACACCGGUGGCGAAGGCGGCGACCUGGUCCGAUACUGACGCUGAGGCGCGAAAGCGUGGGGAGCAAACAGG